rnacentral:tRNA from 1 species
UCACCAGAGCACACAGGGGAAAACACACGACUGAAAAUCCUCGUGUCACCAAAUUAAAAUC